CGGACUGGCACCCGAAGCCGAGAAGGCCCGGGAGAACCCGUUCAAAUACCUGUACUUUCACUUACAUGUCACCAAAAAAAAUUGGACAGCACUUCGUUGCAUAUAGAAAGGUCUAAUUACCUGUAUCAGCACAACACGCGCAAAUAUAUAUAUAUAUAUAUAAUACUUGGCCGUCGGGGCCACCACAUAUACAGAUAUAACAUCACUAUAUAAACUUCCAUGACUUUACCCUUCCUUAUGUCUACAAAGCCUCUAGGAUAUACAUGACAUAACUAGGGUCGGGACAAACCCCUGCCCACACAUGACUCAUGUACAAUAACAAAACAUAAGGAACCGACUCGGAAAGCUCCGAAGCAAACUGGAGCUCACCAACAAUAGCUGUAUGACCUGGCUCCUACUUGUGCGGUGUAUGAGCUGAGGUACCUGUGCCUGCAGCAUGAAAUGCAGGUCCCCCGUGAGGGACGUCAGUACGAAAUAUGUACUGAGUAUGUAAAGCUGUAAAUAAUCACAUAUGAUAUAGGAGCUCAAUAGAAAUCAGAAACAAGUGAAUAAGUCGUAAUAGGAGUGGACCACACUUACUAGAACUUGUGACAACCUGUACAUUGUAUUUAUUCAAUCACUUUACCUUCGUUCUUAUCGUCUUUGUAAUCAUUACUGUACUGUACUGUGACCAUUAGGAUGCCUCCAGUACAUAUCAACUGGGAUCGACCCAUGCUAGGCUUAUGCCCCUGGGAUACCACCCAUAAACACAUGAAAUAGGGAUCGACCCAUGCUAGGCUUAUGCCCCUGGGAUACCACCCGAUAAGAGAGAACUUUCAUCACUUAGUUCAAUUAAUCUUUGAGAUUGUUAUUUCGGUCGCCACCACAUUUUUGAUACUUUGAAACAAUGAUACAUCAAUAGGAACCAAGUAAUAGACCUUCUAUACAAUAACGAUGUAAUAAAGACUCAUUGGUACAUCAACAAUGUGUUUCAGAAUCAUCAAUAUCACAACAAUGAAAUAAGAGCCUUUUGGUAUAUCAAUGAAACAUUUUGACACUUUAUAGAAUGGAAACAACUUCGUUGGUAACGUAGAACAAUACAUGUUUUUGGACAACCUCGGAAUCUUACUUGAUGGAACAUUGGUGUUUUCAUGCCAAAGAACAUUGUUAGAGUAUGCUUUACAUACCUCGUUGUAGAUUCAGAUACCAAUUCAACACAACUUCCCGCCUUUACAAAUCACUUAUCUACAAUGAAAUGUUUGGCAUCUAGUAUUAGCAACCCAACACCACAAUUCUCUUCCAUAAUUCCAUACUACCAAUAUUUGCAAAACAUUCCAAAAACCAACUUGAACAAUAGGUUUAUGUGUGUAUAUAUAUAUAAUCAUCAUUUCAAUACCACAUCAUCAAUACCACAUCAUCACCCCAAAUUCCUUCACAAUUUAACAUAAUCCAACCAUGCACAAGAAUAAUCCAACAUCAUUUCCAAUCAUCUUUCAACAACAAUCAAAUAACAUACUUCUUAUGCUCACAUGCAUAUAUAUAUAUAUAUACAUAUCCAUAUAAAUAACACCAACAUAAUUUACAUCCUUACCAAAAAAAUGGCCCUUUUGAUUUCGAAGUCCUGUUGGCACAAAUAAGGGGUGCUUCUCGAAGCCCUUGAGACGGUGAACACAACUACGGAAUCAAUUUGGAUUUUCUACGGUUGAAUCACAAGAUAAUUGGAGUUGAAAUUUGGCUAGGGUUUCUUAGUUUUCAAUAAUGGAUGAUAAAUAAUGGAUAUGAGGCUAAGUAUAUGUAUAUAAUGACCAAUUUUCGUUCAAGAGGUGAUGGAAAAUGACCAUAUUGCCCUUAAAAAUUUAAGUAAAUCCGAAUCUGUCCAUGGUGGACUGUUUUGAUAGGCUAAAGUAAAUCGGCCAUAACUCUUUGCUCCGAUAUCGGAUUUGGGUGAAAUUGGUAUCGUUAGAAAGAUAAUUCAAAGGUCUUUCAUUUAAUAUAAAUUAAUCCACCCAGUUCGUCCUGUACAAGUAGUUAUGAUCGUUUGAAGUUGACCCUAAAAAUCUGUUUUGAGAGGCUGAAGUAAAACGAGUAUAACUCCUUACUCAGAUGUUGGAUUUGGAUGAAACCAAUUUCAUUGGAAAGAAGACUCAAAGAUCUUUCUUUUGAUAUAUGGUAGCUCAACCAGUUCAUUAUAUUGAGGGAGUUAUGAUCGUUCAAAGUUGACCCAAAAAACUGGCAGGCCUCAGUAGUUUCCUGCACAUUUUACUGUUCACAUCCCGGCCACCGUUUUAAAGUUUCGAACGAGCUCGCUUAUAUCCGAAACUUAUCCGUUUUUGGAAAUCUUUAUAUCGUUGGAAAGCUUAUUCAAUAACCUUCGUAUGGAACCAUCGACGGGAAAAUUCCGAUAUAAAUAAAGUCGAUUCCUAUACACCUAUAAUCAAACUAUACACUUGAAACCAUCUCAAAAUAAUCAAUACUCAUACUUAAACUCAUAUAUACCUAACUUAGGAUCAAUACAUAUACCCCAACACAUAUAACAAUGACUAAUGCACGUAAUUAAGUACGGGGUGUUACAUCCUUCCCCCCUUAAGGACAUUCGUCCUCGAAUGUGAAUGUAGUUAUUUAGCCGAAACAAGUUCAAGUCCACCAUUAACAUUCACAUCAUCACAUAAAUACUAUGCAUAUAUAAACAAAAACUUACUUGUUAAUGUUCUAACUCCGUUUCUUGAACUUCCUCUUCAUCUUUGAACAAAUGAGGGUACUUAGAUUUCAUUGCUUCCUCAGCUUCCCAUGUAAUCUCUUCCCUUUGUUGAUUUCUCCAAAGUACCUUUACUGAUGCCAUUUCUUUGUUCCUUAACUUUUUAACUUGGCGAUCUAGAAUAGCAACCGGUACCUCUUCAUAAGUAAGAUCCUCUGUGACCUGUACAUCUUCUAUAGGAGUGAUACGAGAGGGGUCACCUAUGCAUUUUCGAAGCAUUGACACAUGAAACACUGGAUGAACCAUUGAAAGUUCCUGGGGUAGCUCUAAUUCAUAUGCAACUUGUCCGACCCUCUUGGUAAUCUUAUAUGGCCCUAUGUAACGUGGGCUUAGUUUCCCUUUUUUACCAAAUCUCAUAACCCCUUUCAUUGGUGAUACCUUUAAAAAUACCCAAUCUCCAAUAGAGAAUUCCAGCCCUCUUCUCCGAAUAUCUGCAUAUGAUUUAUGACGACUUUGGGCUGUUUUUAGCCGUUGUUGUAUCACCUUGACUUUUUCUAUGGCUUGAUACACAAGAUCCGGUCCGAACAUAAGAGUUUCACCCGCUUCGAACCAUCCUAUUGGUGAUCUACACUUUCUCCCAUAUAAAGCUUCAUAUGGUGCCAUUUUGAUACUUGAAUGAUAGCUAUUAUUGUAGGCAAACUCAAUAAGAGGUAAAUGAUCAUCCCAGCUGCCUUUAAAAUCUAUAACACAUGCUCGUAGCAUAUCUUCAAGUGUUUGAAUGGUGCGCUCUGCUUGUCCAUCCGUCUGAGGGUGAAAAGCUGUACUCAGAUUCACUUGUGUUCCCAAACCCCGUUGGAAAGACUUCCAAAAGUUUGCAGUAAAUUGAGUUCCCCGAUCCGAUAUAAUAGAAGUUGGCACUCCAUGUAAUCGGACUAUUUCUUUAACAUACAGCUUCGAAUAUUCUUCAACUGUGUAAGUGGUCUUAACGGGUAAGAAAUGUGCGGAUUUAGUAAGCCUAUCCACAAUCACCCAUAUAGAAUCAAAUUUUCGAGCUGUACGAGGCAAACCUGUAACAAAAUCCAUGUUGAUCAUGUCCCACUUCCAAAUUGGAAGAUCUAUGCAUUGCAUAUAGCCUCCGGGUUUUUGGUGCUCAACUUUAACUCUUUGACAAUUUGGACAUUCAGCUACAAAUUCUGCAAUGCUCUUCUUCAUGUCAUUCCACCAAUACAUAUCUUUCAAAUCUUGAUACAUUUUGGUUGAUCCUGGAUGAAUGGAAUACCUUGAAAAAUGUGCCUCUGUCAUAAUCUUCUUUCUUAGCCCGUCUAUAUCCGGCACACACAAUCGGUUUUGGCACUGAAGUACUCCUUCUCGCGUAAGCUCAAAUGCCUUGGUCGCACCACUCUGAACGUUCUCCUUAAGAUGUAAUAAAAUAGGAUCUGCAUAUUGCUUCUCUUUCACUUCAGCUACUAAUGAAGAUUCCGCAGCAUUAUGUACGAUAAGCUCUUUAUUCGGAGUUUCAAGAAGGCGAACUCCCAAACUAGCUAACUGGUGAAGAUCUUUAACCAUCCCUUGCCUUUCUAUAGGCGCCAUCAUAGCCUUACGACUUAACGCAUCAGCUACCACAUUUGCUUUCCCUGGAUGGUACAAGAUAUCAACAUCAUAGUCCUUUAAUAGUUCAAGCCAUCUCCGCUGCCUUAAAUUUAGAUCCUUCUGAUUAAAAAUAUAUUGCAAGCUCUUAUGGUCAGUAUAUAUAUCAACGUGAACCCCAUAUAAGUAGUGGCGCCAUAUCUUUAAAGCAAAAAUAACCGCUGCCAGCUCAAGAUCGUGUGUAGGAUAAUUUUUCUCAUGUGGCCGUAAUUGUCUAGAAGCAUAUGCUAUUACCUUACCAUGCUGCAUCAAUACACAUCCUAAACCAAUUCUGGAAGCAUCACAAUACACUGUAUACCCUUCGGUGCCUUCUGGUAGUACCAACACGGGUGUAGAAAUCAACUUGUUCUUUAAAUCUUGAAAACUCUUCUCACAGGCAUCAUUCCAUUGGAAUUUGGAUGCUUUAUGGGUUAGCUUGGUUAAGGGUGCUGAAAUGGAAGAAAAGUCUUUGACAAACCUUCUAUAAUAACCGGCCAACCCAAGAAAACUACGAAUCUCCGUAGGCGUUGUGGGCCUUGGCCAGUUCUUCACAGCCUCUAUCUUUUGAGCAUCAACCUUUAUCCCUUCACUAGAUACAAUAUGACCCAAAAAUGCCACCGACUUUAACCAAAACUCACAUUUAGAGAACUUUGCAUAAAGCUUACAAUCACGAAGAGUCUGCAAUGCCUGUCGUAAGUGAUUGGCAUGGUCCUCUUCUGAUCUAGAAUAAACUAGAAUAUCAUCUAUAAAAACUAUCACAAAUACAUCCAGGAAUGGCUUAAAAACCCUAUUCAUCAAAUCCAUAAAAGCUGCGGGUGCAUUUGUUAGCCCAAAUGACAUAACUAGAAACUCAUAAUGACCAUACCUUGUUCGGAAAGCUGUUUUGGGUAUAUCUUUUUCUUUGACCCUCACUUGGUGGUAACCUGACCUCAAAUCAAUCUUAGAAAAGCACUUGGCGCCCUGUAACUGAUCAAAUAAAUCAUCAAUUCUUGGGAGAGGAUAUUUAUUCUUAAUAGUCACCUUAUUCAAUUGCCGAUAAUCAAUACACAUCCUCAGCGAGCCAUCCUUUUUGCGUACAAAUAACACUGGUGCUCCCCAAGGGGAAAUACUAGGCCUAAUGAACCCCUUUUCUAGCAAAUCUUUCAAUUGCUCUUUCAAUUCUCGUAAUUCUGCUGGGGCCAUUCUAUACGGAGGAAUGGAGAUUGGUUGGGUGCCUGGUAUUACAUCAAUACCAAACUCUACUUCUCGUUCAGGAGGCAAACCUGGAAGAUCUUCAGGAAAUACAUCAGAAAAUUCAUUUACCACCGGAACAGCGUGAAGAGUUGGUGGCUCCGCUUCUGUAUCCCUUACUCUAACUAAAUGAUAUAUAUAUCCCUUGGAAAUCAUUCUUCUCGCCUUAAAAUAAGAAAUAAAUCUACCUCUUGGCACGCUAAUUUCACCUUUCCAUUCAAGGACUGAUUCAUUUGGAAAAUGGAAAUAUACCUUUUUCGUGCAGCAAUCAAUUGUGGCAUAACAAGACGCCAACCAGUCCAUACCCAUUAUAACAUCAAAAUCUACCAUUUCUAACUCCACAAGAUCAGCCAUCGUAUCACGACCACAAACAGUUACUAUGCAGUUUCGAUAAACCCUUCUAGCUAUAAUAGAUUCCCCGACCGGUGUGGACACUUCAAAUGGCUUAACUAACAGUUCGGGUAUUCUUUCGAACUUUCCAGCAACCAAUGGAGUAACAUAAGAUAAUGUAGAACCGGGAUCAAUUAAGGCAUAUAAAUUGAAUGAAAAUAUAGCCAACAUACCCGUAACCACAUCUGGAGAAGCCUCUAAAUUCUGUCGAUCUGCUAGAGCAUACGUACGAUUUUGAGCCCCGCUAGAACUCGUGGCUCCUCUAUCACCUCUAACACGACCCAUUGGCUGUGCACCCCUUCCUGAAUAAGGCAUCGAUGAUGAUGAUGCAACAAAUGACCCCGUAGGUCGUGCCAUACCCCCUAUGUCCCUUCGUGGGCAUUCCCUCAUCAUAUGCCCCGACAUACCGCACCAAAAGCAAACAUUGGUCCCCAGCCGACAUGCGCCCAAAUGAUACCUUCCACAUUUAUUGCAUGGCUCUCGAGGAGGUCUUGAUUGGCUCAUAUUCCCUUGACCUUGGUACCCCACUGUCCGCGAACUCUGACUCUCACUUCUGUGCCCAAAUUGAUUUCCUCUGAACCCUUGGAACUGUGGUGGGGCACUAGCUGUAGAAUAAGAGGAUAAUGGCCUAGGUGGUCUAGCAGAAAACUGUGGUCUGAACCCUCUUUCGAAUGCCAUGAACUGCCCUGUAGAUCUGGCCCUCUUGGAAUAUCCUCUUUCUGAUUCCUGUGUUCUUCUCCUCUGCCUCUGAUCUUCCAUUUUUUGUGCAAAAGCUUGGAUUCUCGCUAUGUCCAUAUCUUUGUUCAAAGCAGCAAUAGUACAAUCUCUAACCAGAUAUGGAUCUAGCCUAUCCACAUAUUGAUGAACUCUGUCAACCAUAGUAGCUACAACAUUAGGAGCAUAUCUCGACAAGGAAUUAAAUCGAAGACUGUACUCCCUCACGCUCAUAUUCCCCUGACGAAGAUUUAAAAACUGAUCUGCACGGGCCUGACGAAUCUCGAAUGGAAGAUAAUGAUCAAGAAAUGCCUCUUUGAACUCCUUCCAAGUAGCUGGGGGUGCAUCAAUACCCCUAGAUCGUUUCCAGUCCUCAUACCAAUAUAUAGCCUCCCCUUUAAAUCUAUACGCCGCUAACUCCACUGUCUCUCUACCCGUUACAUGCAUAACAUCCAAGGCCCUUUGAAUUUGAUCGAUAAAGUCCUGUGGGUCCUCGUUAAGAUCUGAUCCAGUAAAAGUGGGAGGAUCCAUCUUAAGAAAAUCCUGUGUUCGAAGGCUAGCCGCCCUAUCUAUACCACUAGGACCUGCAGUAGGAAUGGCUUGCCCUUGAGCUUGCCCAGCAACUAUACGAGUCAAAAGUUGCACUGCAUUUCUAAGAUCUUGAUCAACAACAUUAAUAGGUGGCUCUGCGGAUAUAGUUCUCCUCCCCCUUAUUUCUUCCGGACUGGAGGAAGUUUCUGAUGCAUGCUCAGCUGGAGCCUCACUUUGAUUAGCUGGUAUAGUGGGUGACUUACUAGUCCCCUCUCCGGCAGCCACAUCUACUUGCUUACCGGUAUUCUUGCUUCUGGUAACCGGCAUCAUUACUAUAAUAAGAGAAACAAACUGAUUCAGUGGUCAACUAUGACUUCAUAUACAAUAUAAGCUCUAUCGCACGAUCUAAGACAUGAAGAAAAGAAACAAUUCCUAAAUGUCCAUAGCCUCCUGUUUAUAGAUGUGGUGCACAACACACCGAUAAACAAGACCCUACGUAGACACGGCUUUGUAGACUCACUAGGACGAACCUCUCUGAUACCACUUUUGUCACGCCCCAAAAUCCCAUCGGGCCGGACUGGCACCCGAAGCCGAGAAGGCCCGGGAGAACCCGUUCAAAUACCUGUACUUUCACUUACAUGUCACCAAAAAAAUUGGACAGCACUUCGUUGCAUAUAGAAAGGUCUAAUUACCUGUAUCAGCACAACACGCACAAAUAUAUAUAUAUAAUACUUGGCCGUCGGGGCCACCACAUAUACAAAUAUAACGUUACUAUAUAAACUUCCAUGACUUUACCCUUCCUUAUGUCUACAAAGCCUCUAGGAUAUACAUGACAUAACUAGGGUCGGGACAAACCCCCGCCCACACGUGACUCAUGUACAAUAACAAAACAUAAGGAACCGACUCGGAAAGCUCCGAAGCAAACUGGAGCUCACCAACAAUAGCUGUAUGACCUGGCUCCUACUUGUGCGGUGUAUGAGUUGAGGUACCUGUGCCUGCAGCAUGAAAUGC
rnacentral:lncRNA from 1 species